UGCUGCGCAGCGGGCACAUAGCGAACUAUUCUUUCGCCUUUUACUAAAGAAUACCGUGUACACACUGCAAUUAGCAACAUACGCUAAUUUUUUAAGGGGAUUCUUCUUUAUUGGAU